AGAAGAUCAAGUCCCUUGUCCUAGGUCACAGAGUGACCAAGUGACACAGCCCCGAGUCUCAGAAGAUGGCUAAAAUGGCAGUGGAAGCCACAACUUGGGGGCUGGAGCGGCACCGUAUGGAAGUGUGACUCAUUGUUUAAUGUGGCAGCUCAUUAGCAGAGCUUGUUGCUGCCUCUGAUUUCUCUGCUCUCGCUAAUUGGAGAGCCCAGUGGGGCCCUGGCUUCCCGGGAAGAACGAGCCAGUCCCCCAGGGCUCCAGCUGGCCCUUGCCCCUCUGGCUCCCUGAGGAGGCUGCCCCACGCCUGUGAGCACUGGUAUCGGCCAGACCUGGUUCAAAUCCCGGCUCGUGCUGGCAGUGUGAGCUCGGACAAGGCUCCUUGUGCACUCCUCCUCUCUGAGCCUCAGUUUCCCUUCUCACCUAAUGAGGGAAAUAGUAGCCACCUCAUCGGGGUGGGUGAGAGGAAUAGUAAUAAUAGCUGUAAAGUCCCUUAUUGUGGGGGUGCGCAGGAGAUGCUCAAUAAGUGGUUAUUGUAGUGUUAUUAUUAGACUGGAACCUCAGGGACGCCCUCAUCCUGACCUCCCUGGGGCAGCCCCCCAGCCCAGAGGUGCUCCGGAGGCUCCAGGUGUGAGGGCCUGUCCCCCCGUAGGUGAUCUAAAAACGUUUCUUCCUUCGAUGCUUGACCCCUCCUAUGGCAAAUCGGCCGGGCUCCCUUCACCCUUGGCGCUCCCAGAGGAGGCAGCAGAGCCUGUCGGGGACAGUCCUGGCCUGCCCUUGAGGGCAAGUCUGCUCCCCCGGAGCACUCUCUCAAUUCCAGCUCUCCUCUUCGAGGCCACACGGAACACAUCUGCUCCCUUGGCCCCGUGACCAUCCUUUGCUAUUUGGAGGCAGUGACGUCCCCUCUCCAAGUCCUCCCUCCAGGUGGAACCAGUCCAGGCCCUUCAACUGUCCCUUCCGUGGCAUAGUUCGUGGGGUCACUGAAUACACUGGACCAUGAUGUCAGCGGUGCCCCCGGAGUUGUGCAGUGCUGUGGCCUCGUUCUGAGUCCUGUCCCCACCAUCCUCACUCGCUCUGCACGUGCUCCUCCCUGCCUGCAGGCCUGUUACGAUGUGUGGUCCAGAAUUGAACUCAGUCCUCCUCUGCACAGUGUAGGGCAGCCCUGUCUCCUCCCUCAUUUGAGACCUGCGCUGUCCAGUUGCCGUAGAAUGUGAGCCACUUGUGUAAUUUUAAAUUUUCUAGUAGCC
rnacentral:lncRNA from 1 species